rnacentral:rRNA from 1 species
UCAAGCGAAUAAGAGCUUACGACGGAUACCUUGGUGUUCAGAAGCGAUGAAGGGCGUGGCUACCAACGAAAUGUUUCGGGGAACUGGAAGCAAGUUUUGAUCCGAAAAUUCCCGAAUAAGGAAACUUCAUGAACUACUUCUUGAAUUCAUAAAGAAGAAAGAGCAAACCUAGUGAAUUGAAACAUCUUAGUAACUAGAGGAAAAGAAAGCAAAAGCGAUUCCCUGAGUAGCGGCGAGCGAAAUGGGACCAGUCUAAACUCUAUUUUUUAGAGGGUUGUGGGACAAUGUUAAUAAAGUCAAUAAGUUAGGUGAAGCAGCUGGAAUACUGCACCAAAGAGAGUGAAAGUCUCGUAUUCGAAAACUAUUAUAGCUUUAAAUUGUAUCCCAAGUAGGAAGGGACACGUGAAACCCCUUUUGAAUUUGCGAGGACCACCUCGUAAGACUAAAUAUUCCUGAAUAACCGAUAGUGAACCAGUACCGUGAGGGAAAGGUGAAAAGAACCCCGGGAGGGGAGUGAAAUAGAACAUGAAAUCGUAAGUUUACAAGCAGUAGAAGAGCGACUUAACGCUCGACUUCGUGCCUGUUGAAGAAUGAGCUGGCGACUUGUAGGCUAUGGCAAGGUUAAAAUAAGAAAAUAUUGGAGCCAGAGUGAAAGCGAGCUUGAUAAGAGCGUUAAGUCAUAGUUUACAGACCCGAACCCGGAUGAUCUAACCAUGGCCAGUGUGAAGCUUAGGUAACACUAAGUGGAGGUACGAACCGACUGUUGUUGAAAAAACAGCGGAUGAGUUGUGGUUAGGGGUGAAAUUCCAAUCGAAUCCGGAGCUAGCUGGAUCUCCCCGAAAUGCGUUGAGGCGCAGCGACUAAUAUUUCUUUUUAGGGGUAAAGCUACUGUUUUGGUGCGGGCUGCGAGAGCGGUACCAAAUCAAGGCAAACUCUGAAUACUAAAAUGUUUAAUUAGUUAGUGAGACAUUGGGGGAUAAGCUUCAAUGUCAAGAGGGAAACAGCCCAGAUUACCAGUUAAGGCCCCUAAAUAAUUACUAAGUGAUAAAGGAGGUGGGAGUGCAUAGACAAUCAGGAGGUUUGCCUAGAAGCAGCAAUCCUUUAAAGAGUGCGUAAUAGCUCACUGUUCGAGUGCUCCUGCGCCGAAAAUGAAUGGGACUAAGUAAUUUGCCGAAGCUGUAAGAUGUUAAAACAUCGGUAGGGGAGCGUUCUACAUUAGUUUGAAGCGUUAGCGGAAGCGGGCGUGGACAAGGUAGAAGUGAGAAUGUUAGCUUGAGUAGCGAAAACAUUGGUGAGAAUCCAAUGCCCCGAAAACCCAAGGGUUCCUCCGGAAGGCUCGUCCGCGGAGGGUGAGUCAGGUCCUAAGGUGAGGCUAAUAGCGUAAUCGAUGGAUAACAGGUUAAUAUUCCUGUACUGUUUAUUGUUGGUAAAGGGGGACGGAGAAGGCUAGACCAGCCGAAUGUUGGUUAUCGGUUUAAGUAUUCAAGGUGUUGAGGAACGGUGAAAACGUUCUGAGCUGAGAUAUGAAUAGGAAAGUGUUAAGACACUGAACUGGUUGAUGUCAUACUUCCAAGAAAAGCCCUAACUACCAUAAGCAAUAAAUACCUGUACCCUAAACCGACACAGGUGGGUAAGUAGAGAAUACUAAGGGGCGCGAGAUAACUCUCUCUAAGGAACUCGGCAAAAUGGCCUCGUAACUUCGGGAGAAGAGGUGCCCUUAAACGGGCUGCAAGAACCAGACGCUGGCGACUGUUUAUCAAAAACACAGGUCUCCGCAAAGUCGUAAGACGAUAUAUGGGGGCUGACACCUGCCCAGUGCCGGAAGGUUAAGGAAGCUUGUUAGUCUUUGACGAAGCUCGCGACUGAAGCCCCGGUGAACGGCGGCCGUAACUAUAACGGUCCUAAGGUAGCGAAAUUCCUUGUCGGGUAAGUUCCGACCCGCACGAAAGGUGUAACGAUCUGCGUACUGUCUCGGAGAGAGACUCGGCGAAAUAGACUUGUCUGUGAAGAUGCGGACUACCUGCACCUGGACAAAAAGACCCUAUGAAGCUUUACUGUAGCUUGAGAUUGGCUCCGGGCUUUAUUUGCGCAGGAUAGGUGGGAGGCGUUGAAAAUUUCCUUGCGGGGGAAUUUGAGCCAUUGGUGAGAUACCACUCUAAUAAAGCUAGGAUUCUAACCCUAUACCGUUAUCCGGUUAGGGAACAGUCUCAGGUGGUCAGUUUGACUGGGGCGGUCGCCUCCUAAAAGGUAACGGAGGCGUGCAAAGGUUUCCUCAGA